GAUGAACGCUAGCGGCAGGCCUAAUACAUGCAAGUCGAACGAUAGAAGAGGGCUUGCUCUCUUCGAAAGUGGCGCACGGGUGCGUAACGCGUAUGCAACCUACCUUAAUCAGGGGGAUAGCCCAAAGAAAUUCGGAUUAACACCGCAUAAAAUCACAGUACAGCAUUGUACAAUGAUCAAAUAUUUAUAGGAUUAAGAUGGGCAUGCGUGACAUUAGCUAGUUGGCGGGGUAACGGCCCACCAAGGCGACGAUGUCUAGGGGAUCUGAGAGGAUGACCCACCAUACUGGUAUUUAGACACGGAACAGACUCCUACGGGAGGCAGCAGGAAGGAAUAUUCGUCAAUGGAGGCAACGCUGAACCGGCCAUGCCGCGUGCAGCAAGACAGCCCUCUGAGUCGUAAACUGCUUUUAUUCGGGAAUAAACCUACUUACGUGUAAGUAGCUGAAAGUACCGAAGGAAUAAGGAUCGGCUAACUCCGUGCCAGCAGCCGCGGUAA
rnacentral:rRNA from 1 species